AACGCGAAGAACCUUACCAAGGUUUGACAUGGCCGGAAAAGCCGCAGAGAUGCGGUGUCCUUCGGGGUCGGUCACAGGUGGUGCAUGGCUGUCGUCAGCUCGUGUCGUGAGAUGUUGGGUUAAGUCCCGCAACGAGCGCAACCCUCGUCCUAUGUUGCCAGCGGGUAAUGCCGGGGACUCAUGGGAGACUGCCGGGGUCAACUCGGAGGAAGGUGGGGAUGACGUCAAGUCAUCAUGCCCCUUAUGUCUUGGGCUGCAAACAUGCUACAAUGGCCGGUACAGAGGGCUGCGAGACCGCGAGGUUAAGCGAAUCCCGGAAAGCCGGUCUCAGUUCGGAUCGGGGUCUGCAACUCGGCCCCGUGAAGCUGGAGUCGCUAGUAAUCGCGGAUCAGCAACGCCGCGGUGAAUACGUUCCCGGGCCUUGUA
rnacentral:rRNA from 1 species